CAGGUGUUAAUUCCAAGGAUACCCAACCCCAAUAAAUAUUGCUGCACCUUUAACGGUUUCAGAGUCUGCUCCCCAGAAAACCCAACUUGUGACAGAUUUCUACUCUAUGGGGCUUCUGGUCUGCCAUCCUUCACUGACUUCACCUUGUCGUGCUAAUGCCCAAGGCAAGUAGAGGACCAGAGAAACCCUGGUGGAAGAAGAAUGAAGCAGCAGCUAUGCUGAUGACGGAAGUGAAUUGUCUGGUUUAAUUCUUAGAAGCCACUCUACAACGACGACUCAGGACUGUGUGUUCUCAGUUACCUCCUGCUGGCUUGGAGCACGUGUGUGGACAUUUUGUUUUGGAGAAAGGCCGUGGGUGGAGUCAAAGAACUUCGGAC